rnacentral:rRNA from 1 species
GACGAACGCUGGCGGCGUGCUUAACACAUGCAAGUCGAACGGAAAGGCCCUGCUUUUGUGGGGUGCUCGAGUGGCGAACGGGUGAGUAACACGUGAGUAACCUGCCCUUGACUUUGGGAUAACUUCAGGAAACUGGGGCUAAUACCGGAUAGGAGCUCCUGCUGCAUGGUGGGGGUUGGAAAGUUUCGGCGGUUGGGGAUGGACUCGCGGCUUAUCAGCUUGUUGGUGGGGUAGUGGCUUACCAAGGCUUUGACGGGUAGCCGGCCUGAGAGGGUGACCGGCCACAAUGGGACUGAGAUACGGCGCAGACUCCAACGGGAGGCAGCAGUGGGGAAUAUUGCACAAUGGGAGGAAGCCUGAUGCAGAAACGCCGCGUGCGGGAUGACGGCCUUCGGGUUAAAAACCGCUGUAGCCUGUGACGAAGCGUGAGUGACGGUAAUGGGUAAAGAAGCACCGGCUAACUACGUG